UGACAGUUCCCAUCGACUGGUGCGCUGCGCAUGGCUAUAAUUCUCGUCCGAUGAUGCUCCUGGAUUUUUGAGCCAAAACAAUAAAUUCCUGCCAAUUUGAAUCGGGAUUUUUCGCGCGUUCCUCCUCCCGCGGUCCUCGUGCUCUUAUCGUCGUCUCGAAUUCGCGGUCGUGACCCGGCGUCGGCCGGAAUUGAUCGGUUGUGAUUGCAAAAUCCGCGCGCGGUUUUUACGAUUUGUUUUCGGAUUCCUCCAGGAUUUCAGUGCGGUGAUCAUGAUCGUUUUCUGAUAGUUCUCGCUCGGUUCUGUGUACGACUCAACCUCACCUCUAAGGAUUUCGUCUGGAUCCCAACCCACGUGUCAACUACGGUGUUUGUGUUUACUUCCUUUAUCACCAAUCAAAUCAAUCAGCAAUGCUUUUACCCGCUCGAUUCCUCAAACAUGCGUAAUUCCAAGCAUCCGGGCUUUUUAAAGCCCCAUGGACCGGCUUUUACUUAAAAUUAAUUUAUUCAUUAAUUCAUCUCAGUCUUAGCCGGAAUCAUAACCUCCAAUCCAAAUCCCUUCGUGGCAAUUUGCUCUCAAUUUAUUUCAACAAUUAAUAAAUUGGUCCCAAGAAAUACCCCAAAUUAGUCUGUAGCUCAUUACGAGAAAUUUUGGCUAUUGCUUUAGAUAAGUCAAUAGUCCUAUACUUUUUCACAUUGUGUUGCCAAAGUCUGUGAUCCGUGUGUGGAAUAAGUCUUCUGAGCUAGUUCACUUUUAGUUUAUGAAAAUGAUAAGUUUAGUGCGCGUAUCGUGAUUCGGAUUCCGUUUAAUUCGAUCAUUAAAUUGUGAAUCUUUUGUUAGGGCAGUGCUUUUUUUAUAAUAUUUUCUAAUAAUUUAAAGUGCUAGUGUGUUAAAUAAAUCUCAAUAUGGCUCAACCGAGGUACGAUGAAAGUGGACUACACGGGUAUAUGGAUUCGCCGGACGUGGCCGGUGGAAUGUACGAUGCCCACCGGCCGGGGGGUCCCCUCCAAGGGAUGACGCCCUCCCACGUUAAUCACUCUAUAGGCGGAGGCAUGUUCCAACCUUCGAAUCAUGUUGUUAAUCCUGUUAUAUCUGAUGCUCAUAAAAGGGAUAAAGUCGCUAUUUACGGGUAAGUCAAAUCGCAAAUAUACUUUCUUCUUUAGAUUUUUUCCGUUGUUUACUCUUACUUGACGCGUCACUAGAAAACCGCCCAUGUGUUGAAUAAAGGGACA
rnacentral:lncRNA from 1 species